rnacentral:rRNA from 1 species
UGGGGAAUAUUGCACAAUGGGCGCAAGCCUGAUGCAGCCAUGCCGCGUGUAUGAAGAAGGCCUUCGGGUUGUAAAGUACUUUCAGCGGGGAGGAAGGGAGUAAAGUUAAUACCUUUGCUCAUUGACGUUACCCGCAGAAGAAGCACCGGCUAACUCCGUGCCAGCAGCCGCGGUAAUACGGAGGGUGCAAGCGUUAAUCGGAAUUACUGGGCGUAAAGCGCACGCAGGCGGUUUGUUAAGUCAGAUGUGAAAUCCCCGGGCUCAACCUGGGAACUGCAUCUGAUACUGGCAAGCUUGAGUCUCGUAGAGGGGGGUAGAAUUCCAGGUGUAGCGGUGAAAUGCGUAGAGAUCUGGAUGAAUACCGGUGGCGAAGGCGGCCCCCUGGACGAAGACUGACGCUCAGGUGCGAAAGCGUGGGGAGCAAACAGG